UAACUUAGUGGUCAGAGCAUUGGCGCGUAAAGCCAAAGAGCCCGGGUUCGAUUCCCGG
rnacentral:tRNA from 1 species